ensembl:snoRNA
UGGAUUCAUGAUGACCACCUGUGGGGUAUGAGUCAAAUGCGAUGAAUACCUGUCCUGAAACUGAGGUUCAG